GCGUGGCGGACGGGUGAGUAACACGUGGGAACCUGCCCAGAGGUACGGAAUAACCCAGGGAAACUUGGGACAAUACCGUAUGUGACCUGAGGGUGAAAGAUUUAUCGCCUUUGGAUGGGCCCGCGUCGGAUUAGGUAGUUGGUGGGGUAAAGGCCUACCAAGCCUACGAUCCGUAGCUGGUCUGAGAGGAUGAUCAGCCACACUGGGACUGAGACACGGCCCAGACUCCUACGGGAGGCAGCAGUGGGGAAUAUUGGACAAUGGGCGCAAGCCUGAUCCAGCAAUGCCGCGUGAGUGAUGAAGGCCUUAGGGUUGUAAAGCUCUUUCACCCACGACGAUGAUGACGGUAGUGGGAGAAGAAGCCCCGGCUAACUUCGUGCCAGCAGCCGCGGUAAUACGAAGGGGGCUAGCGUUGUUCGGAAUGACUGGGCGUAAAGGGCGCGUAGGCGGUGAACCAAGUUGGGGGUGAAAGCCCGGGGCUCAACCUCGGAAUUGCCUCCAAAACUGGUUCGCUAGAGUAUGGAAGAGGGUCGUGGAAUUCCCAGUGUAGAGGUGAAAUUCGUAGAUAUUGGGAAGAACACCAGUGGCGAAGGCGGCGACC
rnacentral:rRNA from 1 species